UUACGGCCUGGGCUACACACGUGCUACAAUGGUCGGUACAAAGGGUUGCCAAGCCGCGAGGUGGAGCUAAUCCCAUAAAACCGAUCGUAGUCCGGAUCGCAGUCUGCAACUCGACUGCGUGAAGUCGGAAUCGCUAGUAAUCGUGAAUCAGAAUGUCACGGUGAAUACCGUUCCCGGGCCUU
rnacentral:rRNA from 1 species